rnacentral:misc_RNA from 1 species
GAUGAAGAACGUAGCGAAAUGCGAUAAGUAAUGUGAAUUGCAGAAUUCAGUGAAUCAUCGAAUCUUUGAACGCACAUUGCGCCCGCCAGUAUUCUGGCGGGCAUGCCUGUUCGAGCGUCAUUUCAACCAUCAAGCCCCAGGCUUGUGUUGGGGACCUGCGGCUGCCGCAGGCCCUGAAAACCAGUGGCGGGCUCGCUGUCACACCGGGCGUAGUAGAUUUUAUCUCGCUCAGGGCGUGCUGCGGGUUCCGGCCGUUAAAAAGCCUUUUUUACCCAAGGUUGACCUCGGAUCGGGUAGGAAGACCCGCUGAACUUAAGCAUAUCAAUAAGCGGAGGA